rnacentral:lncRNA from 1 species
ACAAUAAUAUUUGUCAUUGUCGUGUUUUCCACAGAUCUGGAGAAGGCGGAAAUAACCUGCCUGAGAGAGUGGUGGGCCUCUCACCACCAUGAACUUUUGUCAUGGGUGCAACAGAGGGACCCCUCUCAACAGGUGGCCCAACCACCAAGGGUGCAGGACAGUGCCAGGGUGCAGGACACUGUCAGGGUGCAGGACACUGUCAGGGUGCAGGACAGUGCCAGGGUGCAGGACAGUGCCAGGUUGCAGGGUGGCCGUGAUCAUCCCACCAAAAGAAGUAAUCCAUCACCCAGUGGGUCGACUACACCUGCUAAACGAGCAUAUAUGUCACCUCCUCCAUUUGACCUGGAGAGCCUCUCAAAGGCAGAGGGAGCAAUGUCGGCCAGUAACGAGUUAUGCAAGUCACUAUAUUGUUCUGUACUGCCUUCUCUCCUUCCUCCUCCGUUAUCCUUUUCUCCCUCCUCCUUUAUCCUUCCUCCUCCUUUAUCCUUCUCUCCCUCCUUUAUCCUUCUUCCUCCUUUACCUUUCCUUCCCUUCUCUAUUACAGUAGUAAACAACCUAACUGGUAAUAGGCAUUUGAUGACCUUUUCUGCUAUUCUUGGUCACACUGCCUAAACAUUAUUAUUGUAAGUUAAAACAAUUGUCACUCAACAUUUUCAGUGUCCCGGCCAUCGACCUGUGGGGAGGUGGGAGCCAGCGUUAACCAAGACCCCAGAGAAUAUGUAACAAGUGUUACAGGGAACAUAGGGACGUGACAAUUGAACAAUUUUUAGACGCUGGUAAAGUGGGGGAGCUGUAUGAAAUAGCUGUAAAGAUAAAGAGCUUCAAUAUACUGAAGACACCACAUGCAGAUGAAGCAGCUACGAGGGACUGCAGGUCCUUAGAGGGUCGGCACGAGUACAGUCAUACCACAAGAUGCCAUUGAACUGGAAUUUGCAGAAAUUUGGUCCGAGACAAAAAUGAAAGCUAAUCUGGGUGGAGAGGAAUUGAGACGAUUCUUUGCUCUGCCUACAGCUUAUUCGUGGGAACAAGAUGGACUUGACCGUCAACUGUCGAACAUAUUGAACUCACUGAAGGAAUCUCAAGAGUAUUACUUCUUUGGAGUAAGAAAGAACUCGACCGAUGACGGUAAAAUUUUCUUCGAAAUCACACGGACGGCAGUACAACUCUUGUCCAUGUAGUGAUGAUUGUCUCACUUACAUUACUUGUAUUAUUAUUAUUUUUAUUAACCAUUCCUAGUUGAUUUAGUACCAUAAGCUGUUGAAGCCCAGUCUUGUACAGAAGUAAACGUUAAUAGUUUA